rnacentral:lncRNA from 1 species
AGGAUAGAAAUUUAGGGAUGUCAAUGGGUAUGGAUACUCGAAAUUUUAUCCGAACCCGAAUCCAAAUGAAACGGAUAUAUCUGAUACUAAAUGGAUAUAGAUUCAGAUAUGGAUAUCAAAAAUAGAAACCAGACUGAUAUGGAUUCGGAUAUGGAUUUUGACUGUACCCAACCCGAACCCAUAUCCGAAUCCAUAUGGGUUCGGGUUGGGUACAGUCAAAAUCCGACGGUAUGGGUUCGGGUUGGGUACAGUCAAAUUUGACAGCCCAGCACGGCCCAGAAACCCGACGGAUAUGGAUUCGGAUAUGGAUUUUGACUGUACCAGAAACCCGACCUGAAUCUGAUCCGAACCCGAAUUUUUUUUGUAUUAUAUAUAAUACAUAUAUAAAAAUUUGAUGUUAUAUUUGAAUUUACAUUUUUAAAACUUAGAUUUAUUAUAAUAUAUUUUGAAAUAUUGAAAAUAGAAAUAAUUGUUUCGGGUUCAAAUUUUUGAAUUUGGGUUCGAAUUCGGGUUUCGAAUUUUUGAUCAGAUUCGGAUUUGGAUAUGGAUUUUUAAAAUCCGUCAGGUUCGGGUUCGGGUUCGGGUCUCGGGUUUGGAGUCGGUUUCGGGUUCGGGUUUUAAAAUCUGCCCCGA